ACAACACAAUGUAACUCCAAGUCAAUCACACUUCUGUGAAAUCAAACUGUUGUCAUGACUCCAUAUUUACACUCCAUUUGACUCUCCUGCGCCUGACUUCCCUGCCACCUAUUACACCUAUGCUUGACAGAAUCUCUGACCAAUAUAUAUGAAGUCAGCAGGAGAAGACACUAUACCC